GCUCAGUUGGUUAAGAGUCUGACUCUUGAUUUUGGCUCAGGUCAUAAUCACAGAGCAGUGGGAUCGAGUCCCACAUUGGGCU
rnacentral:tRNA from 1 species